rnacentral:rRNA from 1 species
UACAGAGGUCUCGAGCGUUAGGCGGAAUCACUGGGCUUAAAGCGUGUGUAGGCGGAUCGUUAAGUGCCUUGUGAAAAUCCCACGGCUCAACCGUGGAACUGCUUGGCAUACUGGCGGUCUUGAGCAACCUAGGGGCGAGCGGAACAAAUGGUGGAGCGGUGAAAUGCGUAGAUAUCAUUUGGAACGCCAAUGGUGAAAACAGCUCGCUGGGGGUUUGCUGACGCUGAGACACGAAAGCCAGGGGAGCAAAGCGGGAUUAAGAAACCCGUGGUACGUC